rnacentral:rRNA from 1 species
GCAGAAGAGGAGAGUGGAAUUCCACGUGUAGCGGUGAAAUGCGUAGAGAUGUGGAGGAACACCAGUGGCGAAGGCGACUCUCUGGUCUGUAACUGACGCUGAGGCGCGAAAGCGUGGGGAGCGAACAGGAUUAGAUACCCUGGUAGUCCACGCCGUAAACGAUGAGUGCUAAGUGUUAGAGGGUUUCCGCCCUUUAGUGCUGCAGCAAACGCAUUAAGCACUCCGCCUGGGGAGUACGGUCGCAAGACUGAAACUCAAAGGAAUUGACGGGGGCCCGCACAAGCGGUGGAGCAUGUGGUUUAAUUCGAAGCAACGCGAAGAACCUUACCAGGUCUUGACAUCCUCUGACAACCCUAGAGAUAGGGCUUCCCCUUCGGGGGCAGAGUGACAGGUGGUGCAUGGUUGUCGUCAGCUCGUGUCGUGAGAUGUUGGGUUAAGUCCCGCAACGAGCGCAACCCUUGAUCUUAGUUGCCAGCAUUCAGUUGGGCACUCUAAGGUGACUGCCGGUGACAAACCGGAGGAAGGUGGGGAUGACGUCAAAUCAUCAUGCCCCUUAUGACCUGGGCUACACACGUGCUACAAUGGGCAGAACAAAGGGCAGCGAAGCCGCGAGGCUAAGCCAAUCCCACAAAUCUGUUCUCAGUUCGGAUCGCAGUCUGCAACUUCGACUGCGUGAAGCUGGAAUCGCUAGUAAUCCCCGGAUCAGCAUGCCCGG